AAAAAGACAAACACUGGAUUUCCGUGUCAAACGUUUGACUGUCCGUCUUAUAUGAUUUUUUUUUAUAAUUAGUAUUUUCAUUGUUAUUAGAUGAUAAAACAUGAUUAAUACUUUAUGCAUGACUUGUCUUUUAAUUUUUUUUAAAUAAGACGGACGGUCAAACGUUGGACAUAGAAACCAGGGUUUGUCUUUUU
rnacentral:pre_miRNA from 1 species